AUUAGUCAAUGCUCGAAAGAGUGAACUAGCUAACUGAAAUCACAUGACUCAUUCUUAUAGGUGGUGAAUGUGAUAAGGUGUAGGGAAAAAAAUGAUAUUACCUCACUAAAAGUGUUGUCCAAAUCUGGUGCCAGAAGACUCGGUAAGACCAGAAACGCAAACGUUAGUCAUCUUAAUCAGGCGUAAAGGGUAUGUAGGCAGCUUUGAAAAUUUUAAAUUUAAAAAAAAAUUUUUUUUUCUUUUCUAGAAAAAAGAGUAGCUCUAUUUAUUAAAUUAAAUAGUAAAAAUAAAAUCAAUUAAAGCUAGAAUCUAAUAGAGGAAAAACCAAAUAAUACUUAGAGUAGGGAUGAUAUCCAUAGAUACUAAGGGGAAUACUAAGGGCGAAAGCUUUUUUUCUACUAAAGAUUGACGCUGAGAAACGAAGGUGAGAAUAGGAAAUAGGAUUAGAUACCCAGAUACCUCUCACUGUCAACGAUGAAUGGUGGUUGUUAGUUUUAAUAAAANCUGAUGGCGAUGUUAACACGAUAACCAUUCCGCCUUGCGAGUACGGUUGCAAAACUGAAANNAAAAAAAUUAGUCGGUCUCGAAGCAAACGAAGUGAAGCAUGUUAUUUAAUUCGAUAA
rnacentral:rRNA from 1 species